rnacentral:rRNA from 1 species
GACGAACGCUGGCGGCGUGCUUAACACAUGCAAGUCGAACGGAAAGGCCCUGCUUUUGUGGGGUGCUCGAGUAGCGAACGGGUGAGUAACACGUGAGUAACCUGCCCUUGACUUUGGGAUAACUUCAGGAAACUGGGGCUAAUACCGGAUAGGAGUUCCUGCUGCAUGGUGGGGGUUGGAAAGUUUCGGCGGUUGGGGAUGGACUCGCGGCUUAUCAGCUUGUUGGUGGGGUAGUGGCUUACCAAGGCUUUGACGGGUAGCCGGCCUGAGAGGGUGACCGGCCACAUUGGGACUGAGAUACGGCCCAGACUCCUACGGGAGGAAGCAGUGGGGAAUAUUGCACAAUGGGCGGAAGCCUGAUGCAGCAACGCCGCGUGCGGGAUGACGGCCUUCGGGUUGUAAACCGCUUUCGCCUGUGACGAAGCGUGAGUGACGGUAAUGGGUAAAGGAGCACCGGCUAACUACGUG